rnacentral:rRNA from 1 species
AGUGGGGAAUAUUGGACAAUGGGCGAAAGCCUGAUCCAGCAAUGCCGCGUGAGUGAUGAAGGCCUUAGGGUUGUAAAGCUCUUUUACCCGGGAUGAUAAUGACAGUACCGGGAGAAUAAGCUCCGGCUAACUCCGUGCCAGCAGCCGCGGUAAUACGGAGGGAGCUAGCGUUGUUCGGAAUUACUGGGCGUAAAGCGCACGUAGGCGGCUUUGUAAGUUAGAGGUGAAAGCCUGGAGCUCAACUCCAGAACUGCCUUUGAUACUGCAUGGCUUGAAUCCAAGAGAGGUGAGUGGAAUUCCGAGUGUAGAGGUGAAAUUCGUAGAUAUUCGGAAGAACACCAGUGGCGAAGGCGGCUCACUGGCUUGGUAUUGACGCUGAGGUGCGAAAGCGUGGGGAGCAAA